rnacentral:rRNA from 1 species
UACGUAGGGGGCAAGCGUUGACCGGAUUUAUUGGGCGUAAAGAGCGUGUAGGCGGUUUGGUAGGUCCGCUGUGAAAACUCGAGGCUCAACCUCGAGACGCCGGUGGAAACCAUCAGACUAGAGUCCGGAAGAGGAGAGUGGAAUUCCUGGUGUAGCGGUGAAAUGCGCAGAUAUCAGGAAGAACACCCGUGGCUAAGGCGGCUCUCUAGUACGGUACUGACGCUGAGACGCGAAAGCGUGGGGAGCGAACAGG